CGGUGAAGGAGCUGGAGCCUGGGCGGGUGCUGGAAGCAAUGGCUUGGAAAUGGCGGUGUCAGCCAGGAGCCGCACAGCAAACUGAAGUCUCAUCAUGUGGAUCUGUUGAAAACCGCCGUGAUGACAAAGGAACGCUUGGGUCGUUUCUGUGCUGACUGUCACACAGCCUUGCGGAGCAGGUAGGGACAUGGCAUGGCAGAGAAAAGGGAUUUCUCUUACGGUGGAAAAGGUGCCCAAGGAACGUUCACAUCCCACGUGCAGGGCAGCUCGUGCUGGAAGUGGCCAGGGUCGCACUAUGGAUGAAGGUCGGCGUGGGAGCAGCUGCUGAUGGGAGCAGGAAGUCCAGGCUGAUGCACGCUGAGGCAUCUCUUGGUGCGGUACCAGAGGUGGCAGUAAUGAUGUCGGGGCGCAGCUGCAGAAGAACGUGAGGAGCUCCCCAGCAGGAAGCCACAAAACCUGCAGAAAGCUGCAGGAGAGCCAGAGCGUGCGCGGGAGCCCAGGAGGAAAUGCAGCCCAGGAGUUGGAGCUGCGCCUUGCCAUGGAGUGCUGCGGCCCACGGCCAGAGCUAUUCUGCCUUGGCCGCGCCGGCUUCCCAAGCAGGACGUGUGUGUCUGCGUAAAAACCAGAGGGCUGGCUCAUCCAAAUGCUUGCUGAUUGUUUGGAAGAUCAAAUCCUUCAGGCCUCCAAGCAGGAGGCAGCCCGAAGGCAACAUCUCCUGGGUGCAGUCGUGCAGAGCCUGAGUGAGAGGCUGACCCGAGAUGGCUGCACAGAGUCACCUUAAUUUCUCUGUUAUCUUACUUCCAAUAACCCCACUGGGUGACCCUUGUGUCGGUCUCUUAGAAUUUGGAUCUCGGAGGUGUGCGCUUCCUUUGCUUAGAAUGAAAGCGCAGGAGUGAUGCGGAACCGUGCUGAGGUCACAGUCGUUGCUGGGGUGGCAGGGCUUGGCCCUCCUGGCGAGCAGAGCUGGUGCUCUAGUGAGCGAGUGGCACACAGAGACUGAGCUCUGAGCGUUUUGUGGAAGGGAUCAUCCUUGAGAGCCCGUCAGAAGCACCGCUUUGGCGAGUGUGUGACCUGGGCACAGCCUGGACUGACCUGGACCAAGAGGUGAGCUGGGCUUGGUGCUGCGUGGUGGCUGGAAGGAGUCUCAGCAGCAAAGCUGGGCUGGGGGGGAGUUGCCAGCUCAAACGAGGCCCUUCCCAAUGGCUGUUUCCAGGGGAAAUUGAUUCUCUGAGAGAUUCAGUCACCCGUUUGGGUGAGGAUGACGAAUUGCCGUCACUCCCCUGUGUAAC